UAUGUGAGAAUCAAAUAGUACGUUUUAGCUAGGUAUAAGAUAAGUCACAUGAUCAUGUGAAAAGCUGGAAAGAAAAAUUAAUGACGCGGACGAAGAUGUCGUCUGCAAUGAUCAAAGAUGUCGUCUGCAAUGAUUGAUUGACCAACAUGUGCUACCAAGCGGUCUGUGCGCGUGCGUUACACAAACUCCCUGCCUGACCAACAUGUGCUGCCAAGCAGUCUGUGCGUACACAAACUCCCUGACUGACCAACACGUGCUACCAAGCAGUCUGUGCGCGUGUGUUACACAAACUCCCUGACUGACCAACACGUGCUACCAAGCAGUCUGUGCGCGUGUGUUACACAAACUCCCUGACUGACCAACACGUGCUACCAAGCAGUCUGUGCGCGUGUGUUACACAAACUCCCUGACUGACCAACACGUGCUACCAAGCAGUCUGUGCGCGUG